rnacentral:lncRNA from 1 species
CCCAAGUAGAUUCAGAAACAACAAUAGACUUCUAUUACUAUAUACUGGCAAUAAUAACCACACAGCUAACAUAUUACUUACUAUGUUUGUGUCCCAAAUAGAACCCUAUUCUCUACAUAGUGCACCCUAUGGGCCCUGGUCAAAAGAAGUGCUCUAUAUAGGGAAUAGGGUGUCAUUUGAGACACAUUCUAUAUAUAUAUAUUUCCAUAUACGGGGCAAUUUUUAUGCUGCUAUAAUGACUUGGCUGGUGAAAGCCUGCAUGGCUAACUGAUGACUUACUUCUACAAUAUUUAUAGGUAUAGUUUUACUUCUCAUUUCCCAUUUUUUGGCAAUUUCAAGCAUCGUUUACCCACCGACCAACUGCACUAACCAUUACAGCAUUUAUAUAUUUCUUUCCAGAGAUGGCAUGUUGGAAGAGGUUAUAGGAGUGUGUGUGUGUGUGUGUGCCUGCUCCCAUGUGUGCUGUUUGUGUGUGUGUGCCUGUUUGUGUGUGUCUGCUCCCAUGUUUGCGUGUGCGCGUGUGCCUGCUCCCAUGUGUGCCUGUUUGCGGUGUGUCUGCUCCCAUGUGUGCCUCUGCCUGUUCCUGCUUGUGCUCCCAUGUGUGCAAGUGAGUGAGUGACAGAAUUUGUCGUAUUUACAUUUUUUUUUUUACAGACACACUUAUCCAGAGUGACAUAAAGGAGCUAUUACGGUUAAGUGCCAUGCUCAUGGGCACAUCGCCAGAUUUUUCACCUAGUCGGCUCGGGGAUUCGAACCAGCGGACCUUUCCGUUACUGGCCUAACGCUCUUAACCCCUAGGCUAUCUGCCUCCCCCCAGUGUUCCGUACUCCUCCAUGGUUACAGCAGGCAGGUUACUAGGGAGAGGGUCUGGUCAGCCCAACACUCAGGCCAGCACUCAGGCCAGCACUCAGGCCAGCACUCAGGUCAGCACUUAUGUCAGCAUUCAGGUCAGCACUCAGGUCAACACUCAGCCCAGCACUCAGGUCAGCACUCAGGCCAGCCCUCAGGCCAGCCCUCAGGCCAGCCCUCAGGCCAGCCCUCAGGUCAACACUAACCUACCAUUAACCCAACACUUGUUUUGGCUCUAUACUCCAGCACUUAGAAAUGGUGUUGUGUGUUCCUUUCAAACAACUCAACUGUAGUUUCAUCUGUCCACAGAAUAUUUGUCAGUAGCGCUGUGGAACAUCCAAGUGCUCUUUUGUAAACUUCAGACGUGCAGCAAUGUUUUUUUGGGGGACAGCAGUGGCUUCUUCUGUGGUGUCCUCCCAUGAACACCAUUCUUGUUUAGUGUUUUACGUAUCGUAGACUCGUCAACAGAGAUGUUAACAUGUUCCAGAGAUUUCUGUAAGUCUUUAGCUGACACUCUAGGAUUCUUCUUUACCUCAUUGAGCAUUCUGCGCUGGGCUCUUGCAAUCAUCUUUGCAGGACUGCCACUCCCAGGGAGAGUAGCAACAGUGCUGAACUUCCUCCAUUUAUAAGGCUUUUAGAGAUACUUUUGUAUCCCUUUCCAGCUUUAUGCAAGUCAACAAUUCUUAAUCUUGGGUCUUCUGAGAUCUCUUUUGUUCGAGGCAUGGUUCACAUCAGUCAAUGCUUCUUGUGAAUAGCAAACUCAAGUUUUGUGAGUGUUUUUUAAAGGGCAGGGCAGCUCUAACCAACAUCUCCAAUCUCAUCUCGUCUCAUUGGUUGGACUCCAGGUUAGCUGACUCCUGACUCCAAUUAGCUUUCGGAGAAGUCAUUAGCCUAGGGAUUCACAUACUUUUUCCAACCUACACUGUGAAUGUUUAAAUGAUGUAUUGAUAAAAGAAUGUAUAUGUUUAAAGAUAAUAAUUAAAUAAUUCUACCCUGAAACUUAACUAUUA